rnacentral:rRNA from 1 species
GGACGGGUGAGUAACGCGUAGGAACUUGCCCACUAGAGGGGGAUACCAGUUGGAAACGGCUGUUAAUACCGCAUAUUGCCUUAGGGUGAAAGGUGGCUUCGGCUGUCGCUAGUGGAGAGGCCUGCGUUGGAUUAGCUUGUUGGUGAGGUAAAGGCUCACCAAGGCUACGAUCCAUAGCUGUUUUGAGAGGAAGAUCAGCCACACUGGGACUGAGACACGGCCCAGACUCC